rnacentral:rRNA from 1 species
AACGAACGCUGGCGGCAUGCCUAACACAUGCAAGUCGAACGAGACCUUCGGGUCUAGUGGCGCACGGGUGAGUAACGCGUGGGAACCUGCCCUUAGGUUCGGAAUAACUCCCCGAAAGGGGUGCUAAUACCGGAUAAUGUCUUCGGACCAAAGAUUUAUCGCCUUUGGAUGGGCCCGCGUUGGAUUAGCUAGUUGGUAGGGUAAAAGCCUACCAAGGCGACGAUCCAUAGCUGGUCUGGGAGGAUGAUCAGCCACACUGGGACUGAGACACGGCCCAGACUCCUACGGGAGGCAGCAGUGGGGAAUAUUGGACAAUGGGCGAAAGCCUGAUCCAGCAAUGCCGCGUGAGUGAUGAAGGCCUUAGGGUUGUAAAGCUCUUUUACCCGGGAUGAUAAUGACAGUACCGGGAGAAUAAGCUCCGGCUAACUCCGUG